CACCAGUAACUAUCAUGUCUUACCUUGGCCAAUCAGGCCUUAUGAUCUGGCUGGCACCCAUUUUUCUCUUUGACCAGCUCUUGCACCACUACCCCCUUAUCUACAAGCCUCUCUGACCUGCUGCCUGUGCCUUUGAUAUUCCAGGCUUCCCCUCUCUUUGGCACUCAGGCUCCUAAGAGGGCCACCCUACCCACAGUGAUUCCCACCUCUCCAUAUUCACACCCUUUGUGUAGGCUGGAACUAGUGAUUCGCCUUUAAAGAACAGAAUAUGGCAAAGGUGAUGUCACAUCCAUGUUUAGGUUGCAAAAGACUGUAACUUCCAUCUUAUUGGCUCUCUCUCUCUCUCUCCUUCUCACUUUCUCACUCAGAUGACGCAAGUUUCCAUGUCGUGAGCUGCCCUAUGAGGUGGUUUACUUGCGAGGAACUAAGAGUGGCCUCCAGCCAACAGCCAACAAGGAACUGAAGGCCUCAGUCUAGCAGCUUGAGAGAAACUGAAUCGUGCCAUCAAUCAUUGUGCUUUGAAGAGAUACUGCAUUUUUUUACAAACUGAAGAUUUGUGGUAACCCUCCAUCUAGGAAAUCUGUCAGUGCCAAUUUUCCAACAGUGUGGGCUUAUUUCAUUUCGCUGUGUCACAUUUUGUUAAUUCUUCGGAAAUUGUCACAGCUACCCAACCUUCAGCAACCACCACCCUGAUCAGUCAGCAGCUGUCAACAUUGAGAUAAGACCCUUUGCCAGCAGAAAAGAUUAUGAUUUGCUGAAGGCUCAGGUUUAUUAUUUAGCAAUAAAGUGUUUUGUUUUGUUUUGUUU